GCUCCUGUGGCGUAGUGGUUAUCACUCUUGUUUUGUAAAUUCAGCACGCGGGUUCAAUCCCGCUCAGGCUCA